rnacentral:rRNA from 1 species
GAUGAACGCUGGCGGCGUGCUUAACACAUGCAAGUCGAACGGGAUCCAAGGGGUGCUUGCACUUUUUGGUGAGAGUGGCGAACGGGUGAGUAACACGUGAGUAACCUGUCCUUUUCUUUGGGAUAAGCAUUCGAAAGGGUGUUUAAUACCUUAUGUUCUGUCUGCCUCGCAUGGGGUGGGUGGGAAAGGCUUUGGCCGGAUUUGGGUGGGCUCGCGGUCUAUCAGCUUGUUGGUGGGGUGAUGGCUUACCAAGGCUUUGACGGGUAGCCGGCCUGAGAGGGUGGUCGGUCACAUUGGGACUGAGAUACGGCCCAGACUGCUGCGGGAGGCAGCAGUGGGGGAUAUUGCACAAUGGGCGAAAGCCUGAUGCAGCGACGCCGCGUGGGGGAUGAAGGCCUUCGGGGUGUAAACUUCUUUUGCUCUGAACAAGGCAUGCCAGUGGGUGUGUUGAGUGUAGGGGUUGAUUAGCGCCGGCUAACUACGUG